rnacentral:rRNA from 1 species
AUUGAACGCUAGCGGGAUGCCUUACACAUGCAAGUCGAACGGCAGCGCGGACUUCGGUCUGGCGGCGAGUGGCGAACGGGUGAGUAAUGUAUCGGAACGUGCCCAGUAGCGGGGGAUAACUACUCGAAAGAGUAGCUAAUACCGCAUACGCCCUACGGGGGAAAGGGGGGGAUCGCAAGACCCCUCACUAUUGGAGCGGCCGAUAACGGAUUAGGUAGUUGGUGAGGUAAAGGCUCACCAAGGCGACGAUCCGUAGCUGGUUUGAGAGGACGACCAGCCACACUGGGACUGAGACACGGCCCAGACUCCUACGGGAGGCAGCAGUGGGGAAUUUUGGACAAUGGGGGCAACCCUGAUCCAGCCAUUCCGCGUGUGCGAUGAAGGCCUUCGGGUUGUAAAGCACUUUUGGCAGGAAAGAAAUCGCACGGAUUAAUACUCUGUGUGGAUGACGGUACCUGCAGAAUAAGCACCGGCUAACUACGUGCCAGCCGCCGCAGUAA